GGGUCUUUAGCUCAGUUGGUUAGAGCUCUCGGCUCAUAACCGAGCGGUCCCGAGUUCGAGUCUCGGAGGACCCACCA
rnacentral:tRNA from 1 species